UGCAAAGUGCUUUACAGACAUUGCUUCAUUCAGUCCUCCCUUCUCUGCCUGCUACCCUUCCACAAGCUGUGGAAUCUUGGAGUUGCUCUUAAAUCACUGCAGUGCUGGCUAUGAAUUCUUGGCUUCCACUAUAGGGGUGAGAUGAGAGUAGACCCAGAAAAUUUCUACAAUUGGCACAAAAACUUUGGAGAAAAUCCAUGGCGGCAGUGAAGUGAAUCGACCUGCCUUAUCUCAUCUCUAUCUCUUAUCACCCCUCUUCACAGAGAGUGACUGGGGUCUGGAUGCUACAGGGAAUCUGGGGAAGCAAUGACACUUGACCUUCCCCUGGAGAUCCAGUGCCUGUGGAGCAGGUGUCUGUGACAAUAUGCCACUGGAUAAGCAAUGCUUGAUGGGAUUCUAAUUAAAUUAACCAGAGAAGACAGAAUCUAGGAGGGAAAGUUUCCUUAAAAAGAAUCGCCCAUCUUCCCAGUCUUGCUUCUUAAACUUCCACUCCUGCUUAGGGCGAUUACCAUUCUAAUUGGAAAGAGGUAGAAAGCCAAUGGUGUGGAUGUUGAGAAAUACAAAAUAGAACAUUUCCCUAUUUCUCUAAAUUGUCUGAAAAAACAUCCAGUUGAGGAAAUAAAGAAAAGGGAACUUCGCCGAGUGAUGUGAUUGGAUGUGGGGACAAGGAGAGAUUGAAUUUGGUGUCUAAGGUCCAUGAAGUGGCGUGACACGAUGGAAGACUGCACAGAUCUCGAUCCCAGAAUUUAAAAAUAAAGCCUUUCAAAAACAUCCUUAGGUUUUGCAGUGCUGUUCCAUUUUGAAAAGGCACAAGAACACACUCUAAAAUAAAAGGUUGACGGAUUCGGCUUCUGGUGAGAGUUCUCUUCCUGGCUCGUGGAUGGCUGCAAGAGGGUCUCUUCUUCUGAAGAAAGUCAUCUUGCUGGAUCUGCUGGAUCGGGGCUGUAUCCUUCUGACCUCAUUUAACCUUUAGUUACUUCCAGAAAGGCCCUACUCCAAAUUCAGUCACACUCAGGGAACAUCCUUAUGGCCUACUGUUCCCUGAGAACAGAGGUUCUCACAGUAUGGUCCCUGGGACAGCCACCAGCAUUCAUUGGGGACCUGUUGGAAAUGCACACCCUCAGCUCCUAUCCCAGACCAAUCUUAUCAGAAAGUUGGGGUGGAGGCAAGACCCUGUUUAAACAAGCUCUCUGGGCAAUUGUGAUGCAUAGUAAAGUCCAGAACCACGAAGCUAGGCAAUACUUUAGAGAAGACCAAUUUCCCAAAUCUGGGAAAGACUAUUCGUUAAGGGGUCAGAGGAGUCAUUCGUGUUAAUACUAAGGUCAUAUAAUAUGACUGCAAGAGUUGAAAGGGAGAAGAAAAAUGUGCUUCCGAUUGUAAUGUGCAAAUUAAGACAAAAUUUAA